AUGAACGCUGGCGGCGUGCCUAAUACAUGCAAGUCGAGCGAACAGACGAGGAGCUUGCUCCUCUGACGUUAGCGGCGGACGGGUGAGUAACACGUGGAUAACCUACCUAUAAGACUGGGAUAACUUCGGGAAACCGGAGCUAAUACCGGAUAAUAUAUUGAACCGCAUGGUUCAAUAGUGAAAGACGGUUUUGCUGUCACUUAUAGAUGGAUCCGCGCCGCAUUAGCUAGUUGGUAAGGUAACGGCUUACCAAGGCAACGAUGCGUAGCCGACCUGAGAGGGUGAUCGGCCACACUGGAACUGAGACACGGUCCAGACUCCUACGGGAGGCAGCAGCAGGGAAUCUUCCGCAAAGGGCGAAAGCCUGACGGAGCAACGCCGCGUGAGUGAUGAAGGUCUUCGGAUCGUAAAACUCUGUUAUUAGGGAAGAACAAAUGUGUAAGUAACUAUGCACGUCUUGACGGUACCUAAUCAGAAAGCCACGGCUAACUACGUG
rnacentral:rRNA from 1 species